GUUGGAAUCGCUAGUAAUCGUGGAUCAGAACGCCACGGUGAAUACGUUCCCGGGUCUUGUACACACCGCCCGUCAUACCAUGGGAGUGGGUUGCAAAAGAAGUGGGUAGCUUAUCUGGGCGCUCACCACUUUGUGAUUCAUGACUGGGGUAAAGUCGUAACAAGGUAACCCUAGCGGAAGCUGGGGUUGGAUCACCUCCUUAAGAAAAGUAUGAGUGUCCACAACAAGUUGUUUGAUAACUAUAAAGAAGAAUGAAAGAAUUGCAUAACUGCCAAUUAUUGGUAGUUAAUUACGCAGGAUAUUUUUGUUUUAAGUAAGGUAUUAUUUUGAAGGAAGGAAUGUAGUGUGAAUACAUGACUGUAAUAAAAAUAACGCAAUAUAAGGCAAAGAUAAUCCCAACAUUCGGGUCUGUAGCUCAGUUGGUUAGAGCGCACCCCUGAUAAGGGUGAGGUCGGUGGUUCAAAUCCACCCAGACCCACCAAAUUUUCAUUUUUGACUGCGUUGUCGGCCUGGUCGUUUAUUAACAUAAACUCUGUCGCCCUCGCCUUGCAAAAAUAAAAAUUACAGUAUUUUUUACUGUUUUCAAGGGGCCAUAGCUCAGCUGGGAGAGCGCUUGCCUUGCACGCAAGAGGUCGGGAGUUCGAUCCUCCCUGGCUCCACCACAUUGUUUUUGCUUUUGCAAAAAAACUAAGUUUUCAUUUUUUUUAAAAACUUAAAUAAAACCAUAUUGUGAUUUUAUUUAAGUUUUUAUACCACGCUUACGAGUGUGGGGCUCUUUAACAAUUUAAUACAUGAAGUAAAGUUUGUAAAUAUACAAUAUAACAACGCGAAAACUGUUGUGAUGACAGUUUUCAUUGGUGUAUUGCAUUGACACGACAAUUUCAAAAAAUAUGGAUUCUCAUCGGCGGUGUAAAAACCGCUGGUGAAAUAAGAGAAAAGAAUUCACCGAUUGUGAUUUACUUGGUGAAAUACUAACUGUAUGAUACUGAACUUGAGUGAUUUCAGAUUUUUUCUUUGACAAGGUGUUUUAUUGACGAUUGAAAGAGUUUAGCGUUGCUAAAUGAUUGAUUGAGGCAAUAAAACAACACAGACAAAGAGAAAAUUUGGAAACAUGUUUUAGAUGGUUUGGGGUUAUAUGGUCAAGUGAAUAAGUGCAUACGGUGGAUGCCUUGGCAGU
rnacentral:misc_RNA from 1 species